AAGCAGUACACACAAACAUAGACAGGUGCACACACACCUCUCUCUCGUCUCCUGCGCGCUGCUGCUUCCUUUUUCCCCCUAGUUCCCUUUCCCUCCUGAUCCCUGUAGCCGGCUACACUUUAGCUUUCCCGUGCAUGUCUACUUCUCUCUGUUCUCUGUCGUCGACUUCCACACGCACAUACGUCUUUCGUUUUUUUUCUUUCCUUUUCCUGGUUUCUUUCUCUGUAACCCUCGAAAACGACUCUGGGCGCUUCCUUUGCUUACGCCUCCUUGUGGCGCUCUCCCCCCUGUUGGGGUGCUGCCCGCCCCUCUCCAUCCACUCUCCCGUGCGUUCGUGUUGCCGCUACGUUUGUGCCUGCUUGUCUGAAAGGGUCUUGACUGUCUUUCUGCGGUCACGUUUGUGCGUACGUGACGGCAGUGAAGGCGGUGCGUCGUCUGUCGUUGCUGUACAAAGGUCUGCCCCCCCACACACACACACACAUCCGCUCGUCCGCUCGUCUUGUGCGCACUAAAAAGAAGAUACCUUCGCCUGUGUCUGUGCCUGUCUGUCCGUGUCUUUCAGCGCCCUCUACUGACGUCAUUCUUUUCCACCACACACCCCUCUCUUGCCUCUUUCCCCUGUGGUGGUGGUCUGUUACUCAUUUUCGUCGGGCAGACUCCUGCACGCCUCUUCGCUCCCUUGUUGUUGUCACACCCUUGCGGUGGCGAACGCGCAGCAGCCUUGCGUAGCCCUCUCUCUCUCCUUCCUGGGAUUGUAUGGGCGGCUGAUGUGAAUGAGCAGGAGGGUUUUCGCCUCUCUCUUCCUCUUUUGUUUUGUAUGUUUCCGCAUCCCUGAAUAUCCACAAGCACUUUAAUGCAGCAGAUGCACUGGACCGCGGCGCGCGGCCAGCUGUCUGGUCCUCAACACUCGCAAUACCCUUCACCGCAGGCAUCAUCCACCCACGCUAGUCAGAAGCAGCAGCAGCAGCAGCACUUGCAUCAGAAUGGGCCUCCGGGGCUGACCGCGGCCGGCAUGAGCGGCGGCAGUGCAGGGGUGAAUAUUUCUUCAGGUCCCGCCGCCGGCGCGUCUGCUGUUCGCGCCAACGUCAACAGCAACGCCUUUCAUAGCCCCCGCUUUUCGCACCCCAUGGGCCCGCUACCGCCCGCUCAGAAUCCGCAGCAGCAGGUCUUUUCCGUUUCACAGCAGCCUCCUGGUGCGCAGCUGCAGCAGCAACAGCGCUCCCCUCGAUCACUGUCAGGUCCGACUCCCAAUAACGUCGUGAGUGGUAAUAGAAGUGGCCUCGAGACGAGCGCGGCGCUCGCCGGGCGCGAGGCGCCGGCCAUCUCAGGCGCCAACUCCGCCGCCGCCCACACAAGCUCUGCCGCAGUCGGAGUGUUCUUAAGCGGUACGCGCACGAACUUCACCGACUUCGGAGCGGCAGCAGCGUACGGACUCGGUGCCGGUGGCGUUGGCUCGCCGAGCGGGCCCACCGCCAACGCCGGCAGCAUCCUCGCAGAUGCAAAUGAUGAGGAGGUGAACCAGCUGUUACGGGAGCUAGAGUUCUCAGUGGACAGCCCUCACGCGUUGGCAGUGCUGCGAGACGCCGUGGACGCCAUCGAAGCACGGGCGCUGGCCAACUUUGACCCUCUGUCGCGAGACACGUUCCUGGAGCAGCGCAUCCGCGAUGUCCUGACGGAGCUGUCGCGAACGUCGAACGAGCGCUCCCUGCUGCUCGCCGUGAGUCUCAUAGAGGCGUUGAUCCCGAUCGCCUACACCAGUCCUCACUCCAAGUACACACGCCUGUGCCGCAGUCUCUCGGUGCUGCGGCAGAGCGGGAAUGAGAAGGCCGCCAGGGAGGCACAGCGGGUGUACAAGCUGCUGCUGGAGGCGGAUGCGCGCUACCCAGGGCCGGAGUCGCCGCUGAAGGCGUUUGUGCAGAAGGAGCUCCGCGAAAAUUGCGAGCAGGCGCUCCUGCAACUCCACGGUCGCGUGCAGCAGGCAAAAGCGGCCUUUCCGGCGCAGUUCUUUUCCGUCAUGUUGGGCUGCGCCGCCACUGCGGAAGUGAACCCGCGCUACAUCUCUGGCAAAACUCGUGCGCAGGCGAUUCAACUCGGCACGAUGCUCACAGGCAGCCCCGAUCCGCUGCUCCGCAAGGCUGCCUACGAGUGCCUCGUCGCCAUCUUUCGAAACACGAGCAACAUGCGACCCAACGAGCUGGUUCUGGAGAGCCGCCGCCUCUGCGAUGAGUGCAUGCGAACACUGAACGCUAGUCAGCACAACGAGGGCCACGUUGUAUCGGCUCUGAAGGCGCUGCACGCCCUCCUCAGCAGUCGCGGGCUCUCGGCGAUCGACAGACAGGUGAUACCGCAGCUGUGCGUGCUCGUCACGGAGCAGCACCGGGUGUCCAAGUCGCUACUGGUGCGCAGCGCAGUGUGCGACCUUGUGCCCAUCAUUGCGCCGGUCGACAUUGCGUCUAUGCCGCGCCGCACCACGUACUGCGCUAUCAUCAUGGAGCCAGUGAAGAACGUGCGCGAUGAGCGCUUCAAGGCGCACGAGCUGCAUAAUGUGGCUUCCUUUGUCCGCAGUGUCGGGUAUCGCGUGCUUGACGCUACAAAUCGCACAAACUUGGAGUCGAUCCUGCACCGCUACAUCUCCCGUCCGGAGACGCAGGAGGCUUGCUGGUCCAUCAUGGCUGCCAUCUGCGCAUCCUCGGCGUCGGCCAGCGGAGGCGCGGCAUCGGUGGCGCCCAUGGGUGGACGCCGCGUAGACUACGUCAGUACAUCUACCACACUCCCGAGCCCCACAACGCAGAACACCCAUCAGGACCUCUCCUUGACGCCCUCCAUGGUUGAGGGGCGCAAGGCCUCGCAGCACUCCAGCCGCGAAAACUUAGCAACCUCGCCGUCGGCGCUUCAGCGGCACUUCUCGUACCACCACGGUGACGACAACGACGAUCAGGUCAGCGUUCCACUUGUCUCCGUUAGGACCACCUCACAACGGUCGGCAGGCACGUGCUCCCUCAGCGCCUCCCCUACCUCGACGAACGCACCAGCCUUCAACCUCUCCACCUUCAGCGUACACCACACUGUGACCAUCGACGACGUUGUCCUGCGCUGCCUGCCGUAUCUCGCCCACGCCAUCCUGACCCAGUCACUAGUAGACUCCCUUCGUGUAAUACAAGCCUCGUGCCCGCAGUUGCGCGCUGAUGUGCAGACGGCUCUGGACAAGCUGGUGGAUAGCGUGCUGAAGGAGCCUUUCGCGCCGUCCGCGACGGCGGCGGCUGUGACACUGCCCCAGUAUUUUUCCCAGCUGCCAAGCUCCACGGCGCAGCAGCAGCAGCAGCAAGCCCACUCCCUUCAUAGCCGUGACGGUGGCGAUGGGAGCGCCGGUGGCUUUUCGAGCGCAGCAAUGAACAGUGCCUCCCGCACCGCUGGGUCUCACCCGCUCAGCCCCGCUAGUGGCCCGGAGCCGGUCAUGACGCUAUCUCGUCCGGGGACAUGCAGCACGCCGAUCGGUGUCGGGGCGGUGGGGCGGCUCACACAGUACUUUCGGCCGAGCGAGAGCGCGGCAAUUCACCGAGGCGAGGGCAGCACGAGCAGCCCGACCCCGACCUCCCCGGUGGGAAUGCGCAACACCUCUGGCCCUUUACCCUCGGGGAACAACAGCUUCCUGGGCCCCGACAGCGCCUACACCGUCGGUGGCGGCGACUCGAACAGCGGAGCUCCGUACGGUGCUGGCGGACCACUUCGCUGCUCCCCGCUCUCCACGUCGAUGAGCGCGCCCUUCAGUCCCGUGACGCACAUGGCGGCAGGUGGCAGCGGUGCAGGUGGUGGAAACGCCGCAGCAGCCCCGCCGUCGGUGCUCAAGAACGACUUGACGGUGGCGCUGAAGGUGUUCACGGAGCGGCCCCUAACGUCGGUGCAGCACCUGCAUGAUCUUAAGAACUCGGUGAUCGCCUUCCAGCGUCACGAGGAUCCGCUCGUGCGGCAGCAGAGCAGCGAGACGAUCAUUUCGAGCUUGCGGCAGUGGAUAGCCUACGCAAAGGAGCACAAAACCUCAACCUACUCCACACGCGUGACAGAGAUAUUGGAGGCGUACAUGAAGAACGUCCUGAUGGAGGUCGACCGCCAGUGCGGGUUGUACGAGAUUACGCUGCUGGCAAACGCCACGAACCUGCGCGCCUUUUUAUCAGAGCAGCGCAUCCUAUCCUCGCUGCUGAGUUUCCUGAACAGCACAGCGCUGGUACGCGAGAAAACGGUGGAGCUUCUCGUCGCCAUCACGCAGGACUCCAAGCCCUCCCCCUCUGUCGCGGCGGUGCAGCAGAGCCUGUACGUCACCGUCGAAUCGUGUGUGGUGGUGCUCGAGUACACGAACGACGUGAGCAUGCUCCUGCGCAGCAUGGCCGACCUGCAGACCUUUACCCGGCUGUGCAUCCGUCAGCUUAACAACCACCUCAGCCGCAUCUUCUACGCCUUUCGCAAGCGUCUUUUAGAGGUCAGCGUGCCUGACGUGGUGCUGCUUUCCAUUCUCAAGACACUUGAGAUCAUCCUGCAGGCACUGGCGAAAGACGAAAAGACCAUCUUGCAGUACCAGGACGACGUGCUAGAGCUCUACGACCCGGUUGUGGAGAUACUGAAGCAGUCGCCGUCGCCGACGCUGAGCCAUGCUGCCAUCAACGUUCUCGUGUACGUACACGAAAUGUGCAUCCCGAGCGCCUCGACGGAUCUGCGUAAGCAGCAGGAGCUGAUCACCGCGCUGACACACGUCUACACCAGCAGCACCUGCACUGUGAACGAAUCUCUGAGUAUGCUGACGCUGUUUGGCCAGCUUGGCGCCAUCGACCCCUCCGCACAGUCCGUUGCGACAACCGCAAAGAAGAAGGAGGAGGCCGUCAUCCAGGAUGAGGCUGACCUGGAGCUCACCUACGACUACACGGUGAUUGUGUACCGCACGCUGAGUCGCAUGCUGGACGCGUCACUCUCCGAUGCCGUCUGCUCUCAGGCUCUGCGCACCCUGCUCCAGUUCAUCCGCUUCACUCAAGACAAGAAGGACCUCGUCGGCGGCGUCCACGCCGUUCGGGCGGUGCUGCAGAUCACAAAGCGCGUGACGGACAGCCCGGCCCUGCGGGUGGAGGCGCUGCAUGUACUGGCGGCCGUUACCGCCAUGCGGCAUGAGCGUAUUGUACGGCUCAUGUUGCCUGAAAUCGUGGUCCUGCUGGAGCAGCUGUGGACCCCGAAAGACCGCCUCCUCUUCCGCGCUGUCCUGGAGGUGGUGAGCGCGCUCAAGCCCGGCAAGCUGUCCGGCAAGGAGCAGUCGGAGUCGUGGGCGUGGCUGUAUCCGCGGCUGGUGGACGUGGCGCUGCAGGACCGCACCGAGUCGCGCGAGUUCUGCCUCCGCGUUGUGGAGAUUGUGCUGAAUGCCAGCUACAUUCCGCCGCACUGCAUCCCCGUUGUGUUUCCGAUGCUACUUCAGUUCCUGCAGCAAUCAGACCAGCUGGUGGAUGUGCGCAGCCAGUCCCUGUGCGCCGCCGUGCACAUCGUGUGCGAGCUGAAGGCGGUGCAGUUCUUUUCGUCGCUCCUGCACGGCAUCUGCACCCUCACGCGGCACUGCGAGCUGAACGAAGAUCUCGGCCCGCGCAUCUCCACCCCAGGGGUGCGGGAGUCACUCAAGGUCUUGGCGGCACUGCACCCCAGCGGCCGCAGCACGAUCAAGAUGUUGCGUGACCGCAUCGGCGAGGGGGAUGAGCGCAUGACGAACCCGACCGGGUCCUCCAUAUUCAACACCAUGGGCCUGCCAGCGACUAGUGUCACGAGUCUCGCCGGCGGCGGCUCCACCUCCUCGAUGCUUGUCAUGGGGCCAGCGACUGGUAACGCCAGCGGCGGGCAGGGUGGCGGACUGGGAGUAGCAAAUCCAGCGAAUUCAGGGAUUGGUCCGCUAGUCAAUAUCGGCGGCUUUGGCGCCUCUACCGCUGGUGGCGGCGCAGCAGCAGCGGGCGGGGCGGCUGGUGGUGGGUCGUACCUGCGGCUCACAAACGUGUCUGAGACCUUUGCAGGGGCUGAGGAAGAGGACGUAGGGCUGACCCUCAGCGCAGACACGGCAGGCCAGGAAGUCGACCUCUUCAUGAAGCAUGUGGAACUUGGCUUCCGCCUCAAGGAGAACAAGUUGCGCGAGUGGUUCGCCGAGUUCCAGAAAUACAUCAUUCUCAUCUCCCCACACCCGGCGUUCCGCAUGAUGGUGGACCUGCUUGACAAGCAUGAACCCCUUCGCCGCGGGCUCUUCUUGCCUUCGUUCAAGUGCCUCUACGAGUCCCUGUCGGCUGACCAAAUCAAGAAGCUGAACGAGAUGCUGACCCUCGUGCUGAACUGUUCUGAUCACGAGCUGUCGAGCAAGUGUCUCGGGCUUGCUGACUACCUCGACCAUAACGAGCCGAACGUGAAGCCAGAGGUGCUGGAGGUGGUGCGGUCGAUGCGGCGAGUCGACUAUCAUCGCGUCAGUCACCCCUCCGAGAACGGGUCGCUUCUUCUGCGCAGCACGGAGAGUAGCACGAACAACGUCGUCUCUCUGCGCACCCGCAGCUCCGCGUCAGCAGGGCUUCCGAAGGCGGAGUUCUCUACUUCCAGUGACGCUCCCAUCGAUGUGCUGCCCAUGGCAAAGGUGCGCGGACGGAAGGCGCCGGUUUUCCAGCGCUCAAACAGCAGUGCCGGGGUAGCAGGCGAUGAGUCCGGGACGGCAGGUGCCGAAGCCAGCAGUGGUGCCUCAACGGCACUUGCCAGCCCCAAAAAUAGCGCAAACGGUCGCCGCAGCGCUUCUCGCCGCGAUGUGGAGAUGUACGAGUUCACCUCCUUUGACGGCAACGAGAAUGGCGCCACCGAGUCUGGACGGCAGCAGUCGCAGCCCAUCGCCUUGCCGACGUCGGAGACACCGGCCCAGGAAGAGGAGGCGGAGCGGCGCAGCUGCUCGCCCGUGGACACGCUCGAUGGGGCAGAGAGCGAGAACAAGGCGGAGGACGUGGUGGCCCCCGUCAGCACCGACCAUCCGUCGGUUGGAGUGCUAGGCGCGGCGGGAGUGCAUGUCAUGGGAAGCUACAGGCCCCUUGUGAACUCCGUCGUACGUCGUUGCGACUCGAACGCGCCGCAGCAGUCCGGGGUGACCAGCCAGUUUCACAUCAUCAGCACCGCUAGCACUCACAGUAACGACCUCAGCAGCGACAGCCGUGACGGUGAUCUGCCGCCGGCCGGGGCCCACAUCCCGGCGCAGCCAAACAUGCUCUUCUCGACGGAGGACAUCGUCCGCGCUGCAGAGAGAACCCGUAUGUACGACAAGGCACUCAGCUAUCUGGAAAACCGUCUUCUGGCCAUGCUCAACCUCUACCGGUACACGAAGAUGCCACGAGAGGUGAUCCACAAGACGGUGUGGCCGCUGGCAUGGCUCUACAGCCAGCGUGAAAUGCAGGACUCCGUCGUAGGACUCUUCCGCGCUAUCCGCUACGAAGGCGGCGAGGACCAAGCAGGCUUCGGCUACGAGCUGCUCUGCUGGUGGAGUAAGGCGCAGAACACGUACGCCAAGUCCAUCACGCAGCAGGCGAUGCGCGAUAUGACGGUGCCGCCGCACAUUCUUGAAGGCUACGUGCGCACCCUCACCCUGUGCGGUGAGUGGAGCCGGGCCUAUGACGUGGCCAUGCAGGUCUGUUCACGGCCGGAGGCGUACGUUUCCUCGACGGUCGCGCGCUGCGGUGCAACGGCCGCGUGGCUGCUCGGGCGGUGGGAUGACGUGCAACACCUCGCGGAGCGGCUCUCCAUGUCGGAGCAGCACACCACGGCGCUCCGUCUUUUCUUUCUCAACGGCGUGGCGCUGAAGAGCGCCAUUACGGAGCACAGCAGCGCCGCCUACGAGAACCUGCGACACAUGAUCACACAGUCGAAGCUCGUGAUUGACGAGAGCCUGCGCACUCUUCUCCCGCUCAGCUACACGCAUGCCUACGAGAGUCUGACAAUGCUGCAGCACUUCACGGAGAUGGAGGAGACUAUCGACUACUGCCACUGCCGCUCUACCAAGGGUCGCCAGCAGAUCUACGAGCGGUGGAACAACCGGUUCCGCUCUCUGAAUCCGGAUUCCCUGCAGCCAAGCCUGCUCUCGCUGAUGCUGCACUCGCUCGUGCUCAGCACAGGCGAGAUGGCGGACAUGAUUCUGCACUUCUGUGAGACGCGGCAGUCGAGCCACCCGCAGCUGGCGGAGUGGGCCAUGAGCUGGCUUCGACACGGCUCCUUCAGCGGGCGCAGCAGCAACCUCUGUAGCCCGAGUGCGGCAUCGCCGGCGUCACCGGGGCCCGUGGAGGGCAUCACGGUGGCGACGCUGUCAUCGGUGGACAAGAAUCCAAAGGUGGCUGUCGGCUUCAUCACGCAUCUGUGGAGCCAAGGAAAGCGGCAGGCCGCUGUUGAGUCCAUGGAGAUGUUUCUGCGCGACUGCGGCAAGGACCUGGAGGAGAACAACGCCACCUGCUACGGCGACGCGCAGCUGCGGCUCGGCACGUGGAAACAGGAGCUGCACGCCGACUCCUUCUGGGAGCGCGGCUUCCGGGACGAGGAGCUGGGCCAUUUUCACAAGGCUAUCCGUGCCGUCCCGUCGAGCUACGAGGCGUGGCACAGCUGGGGCCUCAUGAACUACCGUAUCCAGCAGCGCGACCACAACCUCUCCCCCGAGGACCAGCGCACCUUUGUGGAGGCGGCGCAUCAGGGCUUUGUUGGCGCCAUAUGCCGCUGCAAAGACUCCUCCGAGGCGCUGCCGGCCGUCAUGCGUCUGCUGCAGCUGUGGGUCAUCCACAACGGAGUGGAGCUGCUGAAGGAGACGGUGGCCGACAGUAUCUCGCGCAUCCCGAUCGACCACUGGGUGCAGACCAUUCCGCAGCUGAUCGGCCACCUCAGCAGCGACAGCCACGACAUCCGCGAAGUCAUUGGCAUGAUCCUGCGCUCGCUCUGCGAGGUGCACCCACAGGCCACCGUCUUUCCGCUCCUCGUCGUGAUGAUGUCGGACGCCAGCACCAGCGGCAGCAAUCACAACGCCCUCAACAGCAACGGAGAUGAGAGUAAUAUAGUGUCGGGUGCGUCCGCCAUGUCCGAUAGCUCGAAUCCGCUGGCGCGGAAGCAGGAGAUUGUGCAAGGCAUCAUCCAGCACUGCCCGAAGCGCAUCUUCCACGAGGCCGAGGCGGUGGCAAAGCUGCUUGUGGACGUGUCCGCCAUUCCCAUCGAGAAGAUUCGCGAGAACCUGAGCCAGGUCGCUGCUGCGUGGAACCCAAACGCCGAGUACGAGGAGGACCCGGAGGAAGUGUACCGCCGCCUGCAGAACACACUCGACAUCUUCCACGCCAACCGGCGCCACCUUCUCUUCACCGUCGGUGACAUUGGUCAGUUUGUGCAGAUGGUCAUGGAGGACGACCGCAACGGACAGCGAGAGAAGGCGGCGGGCGUCGUCAGCCAACUCAUCGAAGAGAUCUCGAAGCAUGUGGCGGAGAAGCUGGGCCGUGAGCCUCAGAAGGCGAUGGAGCCGCUGCUGCAUCUGCGUAAUCUGUCCGUCGCGGUAUUCGGGGAGUACGACGGUCACUGCCGCGACCAUUACCCGACUAUCGCAUCCUUUAGCUCCAAGCUGGACGUCAUCCCGUCGAAGAAGCGGCCGCGCCGCAUCCAGCUCAACGGCUCGGACGGCUGUCUCUACACAUACUGCCUAAAGGGCAACGAGGACAUUCGCAUGGACGAGCGUGUCAUGCAGCUGCUUGGAAUGGUGAACGUCCUACUGAGCCACACCCGUAUCUCAAGCAGCGCCUACAUCCACCGCUUCCCUGUCAUCCCGAUCAGCUCCAACGUGGGGCUUCUUGGCUGGGUGGAGAACGCGAAUACAAUCAACAACACCAUCUGCAACUACCGUACCAACAUCUCGAACGUGCGCACGCAUCAGGAGUCGAGUGUGCUGCGCGCCUACGUAGGGUCGUUUGGCAACUGGGACAAGCUCAGCCUCAUUCAGCGCACGGAGAUACUCGACUUUGUGAUGCAGAGCGAGCACUGCGAAGCCGUUGACGUUUCUCGAGCAAUGUGGCACCGCGCCAACACGGCGGAGCAGUGGCUUGACCGCCGAACUGCCUUUACAGUAUCCUUGGCGACCAUGUCCAUGGUGGGCUACGUGCUCGGCCUCGGCGAUCGGCAUCUCGGCAACAUCCUCAUCUCUAUGUCCUCUGGCAAGAUUGUGCACAUUGACUUUGGAGACAGCUUCGAUGUCGGUCGGCUACGCCACGUUCUGCCGGAGACGAUCCCGUUCCGCCUCACGCGCAUGCUGACGAAUGCGAUGGAGGUCUUCGGCGUGGACGGCGUCUUCCGCGCCUCCGCAACGCGGACGCAGACGACGCUGCACAAGAACCGUGAUAGCAUCAUGGCCCUGCUCUCCGCCUUCGUCCACGACCCGAUUGUGCAGUACAAGGGCAAGAUGAAGAACAUCAUGGAGAAGAGCCGGUCGCCGCAGGACAUUGCAGAGCGCAUUCGUAACAAGCUGCGCGGGAUGGAGAUGGCGAUUGACCACAGCAAGGUGAACAUCUUUAACACGACGCAAGACAGCUGCCGCCGGCCAGACCUCCUGUACAUGUCGACCGCCUUCGAUGAUACUGCCGUGCGGACACAGUCGUUGGCGAUGACGCCGGAGGAGCAGGUUAGCUUCUUGAUUGACGAGGCGACGCGCAUCGACAACUACACGACGAUGUACUUCGGCUGGGGCCCGCUGUGGUAGUGGCACCCGAAAAGAUUAAAAAUCGCGUCCGCCUUCUCUCUAACGCGUCCACUCUUUCUGCAGUUUGCUGUGUUGAGUUUUUGAUUUUUCUGUGUGUGUGUGUACGCGUCCUCGGUAAUGUCCGGGACGCCACCUUUGUUCUCCUGAGGUGGGGGAGGAGAGAGAGGGAGUUGUUGAUCGUCUCUUCAAUCCUCCUCUGUGCGUGUGUUUGUGUGUGUGUGUGUGUGCACAGCCCCUGUGAAGGCAGAUUCAACCUUGCCUCCAUUGCUCGUACACCCCUCUAUGUCUCCUUUUCGAUCGCUUCCUCGCCAUAGCCCCCUCCCCUCUCUCUCUCUCUGCGUGUUUUGUCGAGAAUGUGCUUCGCAUGUGUGUGCAACAUGCCUCUUUUCUUCCCUGAUUUUUUUGUUCGUCUGUCCCUCCCUCGCCACCCCGCCCCACUCCUCCUUUCUCGAGAGUAUGCGUGCACACUUGUGCGUGUAUGGCGGUAGAACACAAUCCAUCCUCUGCUCUUGUCUUCAUAUUGGUAUUUUGUGUAUUUGUGUGCGGCUGGGGGUCGUUUGAACCUGUGAAUGCAUUGUAUGUUUGCGGAAGCGUGCCUCCACAUGACUAUCUUCGUGCACGAGUGUGCGUAUGUGUGUGUGUGUGUGUUUCUCCCUUCCUCCUCUUGUGUGGCCACCACCACUACUCCCUAUCCACCACCUCUUCUCUUUAGAUAACAACGCUCUUUCUUUCUGGGGACUCCCUCUCUCUCUCCCCCACCCUUGAUGCGUUGCGUCGCUGGAUCGCUGAGCUGAGGAGGAGGAAGCAAGGCAAGGCAAGGUAAGCAAACAAGAGAGCGAAAAGAAAAAUCACCCGCCCCCCCCCCUGGCCCCGCAUCAUCAUGGCCAUCGUCACUGCUGUCACCUACCACCCCAUCAGUACCCAAUAAGAACCGCGAAAAGGGAGGGAGGGAGGACAAAGAACAAACGAAAAAUAAAACGAAGAAGCAACAAAAAAAAAUGACGUUCUAAAAACGCUAAGCAAUAAAAUGAACUACCGCCCCCCCCCCCAUCCUCUUUCCCGUUUUCUAUGUCUGUGUCUGUGUCUGUGCCUGUGUGUGUGGGGGGGGUUCUUCCUUUUUUUUUUUCGUUCUUUGCUCAUCCCAAAAUUACGUUAAACAGGGAAUACACACACAUGCAUACAUACACAUACACACACAUAGAGAGGGAGGGGGACAUAGACAUACAGAUACAAACAGCCAAGACGGACAGAUGGAGGGGGGGGAUGGACACACACGUAUGUACGGUAUACAUGUACAUCGAGGCGUAAGGGGCACACCACGGAAGGCAGCCCACCUCCACCCCAUUACCCUUUUUUUUGCUCUCCUCACAUUCAUGCACGCAAGCUAGUGUGUAUAUGUGUGUGUGUGUGUGCGUGUGUCACUCCCUCCGCGCUUUCUGCCUGCACCCUCUCCCUCCCUCCCGUCCCACACACCCCGACCCCCACCCCCAACAAAAGUUCGACUCCCUCUUUGCCGCCCAUUGCUCUGCGUGUAUGUACUUUAUGCGUCCCUUUUUCUGCUGCGCCCAACUCCCUCCCUCUCUCCCUCCACGGACCAUUCUAUAGCGGCUCUUCUUUUCUCGCUCGUCGUGUGUGUGUGUGUGUGUGAGGCUCUAUGCGUUUUUUUUUUGCUCUUGUGCUGUCCCCCCCCACUCCCUUCGUAUCUUCGCGGUUGUUGUUGAUUGGUCGGUCUGCGUCUUUUCCUUUUGUGUUGCGUGUCUGCGUGUGUCUGUCACCUGCCUUGCUCACUGUCCCUUGUCCUCUCCAACAACGAGAGAACACCACUCCCUUGCUUAGCAAAUAAACAAGCG
rnacentral:misc_RNA from 1 species